AUUACAGAGUUCAUGCCCUCACGGGUAGAUCUCCCACCCUUGAAUAUUAUACCUUCGUUGCUUUGGCAGGCCGUGGAAACACCAGAGGCUCCGGCUGAUGCGUGCCUGCCAGGGGAAACAAACUCUGUUUUUAGUGAUGUCUGAGUACUAUAUAAUAGUUAAAACUUUCAACAACGGAUCUCUUGGUUCUGGCAUCGAUGAAGAACGCAGCAAAACGCGAUAGGUAAUGUGAAUUGCAGGAUUCAGUGAAUCAUCGAAUCUUUGAACGCAUAUUGCACCUCUUGGUGGACCAUGGGGCAUGUCUGUUCGAGAGUGAUGCUCAAUGAUCAAGCCAUUGUUUUGAUGCAGUGGACUUGUUUUUGAGUCCUGGGAGUCCAGCUUCCCUGGCUCUAAAGUGGUGGUCUUGCGGUCCAUGUUGAACCAUGAACAUGAUAAUGUAAAACUCAUUGUUCUGUGGUGCUUAACUGGGGCUAGCCUUAACAACCUUAAAUUCUAACUUCGGAUCAGACAAGA
rnacentral:rRNA from 1 species